rnacentral:tRNA from 1 species
AUGAGCGUAGCUCAGUGGUAGAGCGGUCGGCUGUUAACCGAUUGGUCGUAGGUUCGAAUCCUACCGCUGGAGCCA